AGCAGCAUAGCGCAGUGGUAGCGCGCGGGGCCCAUAACCCCGAGGUCACUUGAUCAAAACAACUUGCUGCUA
rnacentral:tRNA from 1 species